rnacentral:rRNA from 1 species
AGAGUUUGAUCCUGGCUCAGAUUGAACGCUGGCGGCAUGCCUUACACAUGCAAGUCGAACGGCAGCACGGGUGCUUGCACCUGGUGGCGAGUGGCGAACGGGUGAGUAAUAUAUCGGAACGUACCUUAUCGUGGGGGAUAACGCAGCGAAAGCUGCGCUAAUACCGCAUACGCCCUGAGGGGGAAAGCGGGGGACCGUAAGGCCUCGCGCGAUUAGAGCGGCCGAUAUCUGAUUAGCUUGUUGGUGGGGUAAAAGCCCACCAAGGCGACGAUCAGUAGCUGGUCUGAGAGGACGAUCAGCCACACUGGGACUGAGACACGGCCCAGACUCCUACGGGAGGCAGCAGUGGGGAAUUUUGGACAAUGGGGGCAACCCUGAUCCAGCAAUGCCGCGUGAGUGAAGAAGGCCUUCGGGUUGUAAAGCUCUUUUGUCAGGGAAGAAACAGCAGCUCUAACACAGUCUGCGAAUGACGGUACCUGAAGAAUAAGCACCGGCUAACUACGUGCCAGCAGCCGCGGUAAUACGUAGGGUGCAAGCGUUAAUCGGAAUUACUGGGCGUAAAGCGUGCGCAGGCGGUUAUACAAGACAGGCGUGAAAUCCCCGGU